GCGGUAUGCUUACACAUGCAGUGAACGGAACUUCGGGUUUAGUGGCGGACGGGUGAGUACGCGUGAGAUCUGCCUCUAGGUCGGGGACAACAAUUGGAAACGAUUGCUAAUACCCGAUGUGCAGCAAUGUGAAAGAUUUAUUGCCUAGAGAUGAGCUCGCGUCUGAUUAGCUAGUAGGUGUGGUAAUGGCGCACCUAGGCGACGAUCAGUAACUGGUCUGAGAGGAUGACCAGUCACACUGGGACUGAGACACGGCCCAGACUCCUACGGGAGGCAGCAGUGGGGAAUUUUCCGCAAUGGGCGAAAGCCUGACGGAGCAAUACCGCGUGAGGGACGAAGGCUUUUGGGUCGUAAACCUCUUUUCCCUGAGAAGAAGAUCUGACGGUAUCAGGGGAAUCAGCAUCGGCUAACUUCGUGCCAGCAGCCGCGGUAAUACGAGGGAUGCAAGCGUUAUCCGGAAUUAUUGGGCGUAAAGCGUCCGCAGGUGGCUCUGUAAGUCUGUCGUUAAAGAAUGGGGCUCAACCCCAUACAGGCGAUGGAAACUACAAGGCUAGAGUUUGGUAGGGGUCACGGGAAUUCCUAGUGUAGCGGUGAAAUGCGUAGAUAUUAAGGAAGAACACCAGCGGCGAAAGCGCGUGACUGGGCCAGUACUGACACUCAUGGACGAAAGCUAGGGGAGCGAAUGGGAUUAGAUACCCC
rnacentral:rRNA from 1 species